UACGGAGGGUGCAAGCGUUAUCCGGAUUCACUGGGUUUAAAGGGUGCGUAGGCGGAUUGGUAAGUCCGUGGUGAAAUCCCCGAGCUUAACUUGGGAACUGCCGUGGAUACUAUCAGUCUUGAAUAUCGUGGAGGUAAGCGGAAUAUGUCAUGUAGCGGUGAAAUGCUUAGAUAUGACAUAGAACACCAAUUGCGUAGGCAGCUUACUACUCGAUCAUUGACGCUGAGGCACGGAAGCGUGGGGAGCAAACAGG
rnacentral:rRNA from 1 species